rnacentral:rRNA from 1 species
UGAGUAACCUGCCCUUAACUCUGGGAUAAGCCUGGGAAACUGGGUCUAAUACCGGAUAUGACUGCUGACCGCAUGGUCUGGUGGUGGAAAGAUUUAUCGGCUGGGGAUGGGCCCGCGGCCUAUCAGCUUGUUGGUGGGGUAGUGGCCUACCAAGGCGACGACGGGUAGCCGGCCUGAGAGGGUGACCGGCCACACUGGGACUGAGACACGGCCCAGACUCCUACGGGAGGCAG